CCAUUUGGAAGUAUCGAUCUCGUUCAGCUCAUUAUGGAUUCGGAUACUGGUCGAUCGAAGGGUUACGGAUUCAUAACAUUCCACAACGCAGAUGAUGCCAGGAAAGCGCUGGAAAAGUUGAAUGGGUUUGAGGUAGCCGGACGCCCGAUGAAGGUCGAACAUGUGACGGAACGUUCGCUCGACACGGACGAAAUGGAUUGCAGCGAUUCCAAUUAGAAGCAAUACCUGAUUCUGACUCGGAAUCUGUUUGGAAAUCAUACCAAAUUCCAGACGAGUUAACUGGUCUUAGUUAAGAUUAGCUGAGCUAUUUGGGAACCGAUGGGUGAUAUCAAUAAUUAAACUAGCUGUGAGAUAGUUAAUAAUUCAUUUGUAAAAGUUGUCUUGAAUAAAAUCCACGUUUAUUGGAUUGAACAGAAAA